rnacentral:lncRNA from 1 species
UACCCAGUAUUGCAAGGCAGGUCGUAGAAACAGUCUUCCUGCACAUAUUUAAAAAUAAUAGCAAAGUCAGUAAAAUAAUAGCAUAGUUAAGAAAACGUGCUAAAUUUACCCAAACUGCAUUAUUCAAUAACUUAUUACAAAUGAAAGAUGAAAAGAUCAACCUAUUUUGAUCACCAAAAGAAAAUAUAUAUAGAGAGCAUAAAACGAAAGUCAUCAUUAGAGCAUAUUUAAUAAAGCUUUAUCCUAGUCUGGAUGGUGCUUCGACAUAUAGGACAGAGAUGAAGAUCUUGUCCACAUUCACAAUAUGUCUGCAAAUAAGAACGAAAAAGAAAACUUGAAGAUACACUCUAGUCAUGUUCUCUAAAAAUGAAAACCAAAAACCUUUUGACAGUGAUACCUGAUGUCCACAACCAAACGCCAUAUCCCUAGGAUUGGUAAUGCAAAUGGGACAUAACUGUCACAAGGCAGACAAGAAACAGUUUACUAUGAUUCCCAACAAUACAUGAACAUUCCAAUACUAAAUCCAUUAAUGGUAUGAUGCAUCACUAGAAUAAAAUUGAGAAAAUAACAAACACCAGAAAUAUAAAGGUUAUAUUCACCUCGAAAUCAGUACUACAAACACAAAGCUCAUACAUAACACAUAUAUAUAAUGAACAGCUAGUUCAGUAAGAACUCACCAACUUGUACUGCUAACUAUGAGUGCUGGCCUAUUAUGAUUCAAGACUAUAUCAGUGCCAACCUGGAUUGUAAAUAAAGUAGCAUUUAAAUUAUGUCUAUCUGUACCUGUCAUUUAUACAAAUCACAAAUGUGUGUAAAUAUCCAAGUAAGACUCUCUGCUCUUGCACAACUUCACUAGACAUAGAAUUGAAAAUCGAAUUUCUCAAGUACAAUACCAUUGCUGAUGCAGUCUUGAAGACCAUAAGACUCAUCCAGAUUUUUACUAAUCCUGCAAAACAACUAGAAUCCACAGUCCAAUUAUAAAUUGCCAAGUCAAUUGUACUCUUUAGAGUGAGUUGAGAUAUAAAUAUGAUUUACAUUAUACAAUUUAUAAAUUGUAUAAAUUGUUGCUGGUGCUUUCAAGGGUGGGGCUUAUAUUUGAAAGAGCUUGGGCACGGAAGUGGGCUUGGUUUGGGACUGGGGCUGUUAUUACCUGACACUGCUGCUGAGUUGGGGAGUUGCUGCACUGGGUUAAUGUUUGGAUCUUGCUGGGCAUUUACACUGCUAUUCGCUAGGUUUGCUGCUUAUUGGGUCUUCUCUGCUCGAGUUGUCUGUAGUAUGUGUCUUGUUUGGCGUAUCAGCUGGGGGGCAUUUACACUGGGUCGUUUUCGACUGUGGCUUGCUGCAGGCAUUUGCACUGGGUCUUUUCCGACUAUGGUCUGCUGCAGGCAGGUUUAGCUCGAUGGAUCAACUGGGGGGCUAGUAGGGUAAGAUGCUACUGCUGCUGGGUCUGCUGUGUGUGCGACUGCUGCAGUGCUGGGUAUGAUGCGGGUGUGCUCUUACCUCAGUCAUACUUAUUAUGAUGCCUUGAAAACUGUUGCAGACUGCUUCGCAUGGGCUGUUACGUGGUUGCUGCUAUCGCGUUGUUGCUGCUACAUCUCUAUUGCAACUUGCCAUGCUCGGUUGUAGAUGCAAGGACUAUGUAGUAUUGCUACAGGUUUUUGCUGCUAUUGUUUCUCUAUAUGAGUUGAGUGUAGUUUGAGGGCUUGCUUCAGUUGUUGCUCCUGGUUUGGCUCGUUGGUGCUGCUUUGAAAGGCUUGGUUUGGUUAUUAGUGCCGAUUCUAGAGACUGUGGGUCUGUUUCGGCUUUGCUGCCUGCUUUGAAAGGCUCUAUAGUUUGAGGGCUUUCUUCAGGUGUUGCUGCCUGCUUUGCUCUAAAAUUUAGAACCGCAUUGAGGACCAAAUUAUUAAAUUAUAACAGAGGACUAAAAAUGUGAAUAGGCAAAAUGCAGUAUAGUUUGUAUUAUCGAGCAGACCCUCUUACGAAUAUGUGGAGAUUAUUACUGGAAAAUUCCAAAAUUAGUAGUUAUGUCCAAGUGUCGGUACGGAUUUAAUAUGAUACUUUGGCAUCAUGCGUAGAAAAUACUAAAAAGUUUUUGAUCAAUACCAAUCGAAGUUCAAAAUAAAAUUGUUAUGGUGAGGCUUAAAUCUGCCAUUUAUUCAAGUAAAAAAAAAACAACAUACUGUAUGCAGAAGGGGCCAUAAGCACUAGGAACUACAGACAUGAACAAAUUGCUAUUAUGCACAUAAAACCAACUGUUGGUCAAAGUAACAUAACAUAAUAAUGUUAAGGAAACUAAUACUGCUGAAGUGAAUGAAUUUAAAGCACAAACCUUCCUGAAGUCAUCCCUUGAGAAAUUCUCAACCAUUUUGGGACCUGAUGAGAAGAAGCCGAGGGCUGUAUGCAACAAUUCCAAAGCGGGAGUUCUCUACAGAAUUGCAAAGAUUAUUACAACAGAUUUUCGAUAUCAGGAGAAUCUAUUGCUCUUA